UGAUCCUGGCUCAGGAUGAACGCUAGCGGCAGGCUUAACACAUGCAAGUCGAGGGGUAUAGUUCUUCGGAACUAGAGACCGGCGCACGGGUGCGUAACGCGUAUGCAAUCUACCUUUUACAGAGGGAUAGCCCAGAGAAAUUUGGAUUAAUACCUCAUAGUAUAAUGACUUGGCAUCAAGACAUUAUUAAAGUCACAACGGUAAAAGAUGAGCAUGCGUCCCAUUAGCUAGUUGGUAAGGUAACGGCUUACCAAGGCUACGAUGGGUAGGGGUCCUGAGAGGGAGAUCCCCCACACUGGUACUGAGACACGGACCAGACUCCUACGGGAGGCAGCAGUGAGGAAUAUUGGACAAUGGGCGCAAGCCUGAUCCAGCCAUGCCGCGUGCAGGAUGACGGUCCUAUGGAUUGUAAACUGCUUUUAUACGAGAAGAAACACUACUUCGUGAAGUAGCUUGACGGUAUCGUAAGAAUAAGGAU
rnacentral:rRNA from 1 species